AUCUGGUGUUGUAAUUCCAACACUUCUUAUUAAUAACUCAUGCACAUAAACUAAGUUGUUUAAUAAACAGUAAGUUGUCUUGAAUAGCAUUAUCAACAUGACCAGUGACAUCAGCUAACACUGUCUAGAUAAGUACAACAUUUUUUUUCCUUGGCAUGUGCCAGCGAUUGACCAUGUGCAUUAGUUUGUAUUCUUGAAAUAUCUGUGUCAUUGUGAACUUAUUAGCUAACACUGAGACAUGCAUAUGGGCAGCUGCAGAUCUGAUAGUUUUGGAAAGUCACAAGUACCCUGUAAUAUUUUGUUGAUUUGCUUUUUAGUCCCACAAGAAAGCCCCAUGUUCACGAUCAAGGAGUCGAUAAAGGAGCUUGACACCUGUUCUCAUUUGUACAAGGUGGGAAAAGAAGAUCAAAGACCUGCAUUUGGAUGGCUUUUUUGGCACUUCUCUUUGAUUGGUUUGUGGUUUGGAG